rnacentral:tRNA from 1 species
GCUUUCGUAGUGUAGUGGUUAACACGCUCGGCGCGUAUUCUAGAGGUCCGCGGUUCGAAUCCCGGCGAAGGCA